rnacentral:rRNA from 1 species
ACAGAACCCCCGAUUGCGAAGGCAGCUUACUAUCAUACAACUGACGCUGAUGCACGAAAGCGUGGGGAUCAAACAGGAUUAGAUACCCUGGUAGUCCACGCAGUAAACGAUGACUACUAGCUGUUAGCGAUAUACUGUUAGUGGCUAAGCGAAAGCGAUAAGUAAUCCACCUGGGGAGUACGUUCGCAAGAAUGAAACUCAAAGGAAUUGACGGGGGCCCGCACAAGCGGAGGAACAUGUGGUUUAAUUCGAUGAUACGCGAGGAACCUUACCCGGGCUUGAAAUGCUAUCGACCGACGGAGAGAUUCGUUAUCCAGCAAUGGCGAUAGUGUAGGUGCUGCAUGGUUGUCGUCAGCUCGUGCCGUGAGGUGUCGGCUUAAGUGCCAUAACGAGCGCAACCCUUGCCAAUAGUUACCAGCAUUUAGAUGGGGACUCUAUUGGGACUGCCACCGUAAGGUGCGAGGAAGGUGGGGAUGACGUCAAAUCAGCACGGCCCUUACGUCCGGGGCGACACACGUGUUACAAUGGGGAGUACAGAGGGUUGCUACACCGCGAGGUGAUGAUAAUCCCUUAAAACUUUUCUCAGUUCGGAUCGGAGUCUGCAACUCGACUCCGUGAAGCUGGAUUCGCUAGUAAUCGCGCAUCAGCCAUGGCGCGGUGAAUACGUUCCCGGGCCUUGUACACACCGCCCGUCAAGCCAUGGGAGUUGGGGGGACCUGAAGUUCGUGACCGCAAGGAGCGACCUAGGGAAAACCCCCCGGGGUGCCU